rnacentral:lncRNA from 1 species
UACCGGCUUUCCUUCUUCUGGAUCGCAUUCAUCGGAUUUCUUCUGACGCUGCUCCUCGGGACAAUUUUCAGUCUCGCAACGGGUGGCGCUAGGAAAACAAAAAGCAAUUUGGUCCUUACAAGCACGGCUUUCUUGACACUCUGGUAUCGCUUCAAGUUGCUUCGACGAGCAGUUCAACUCGACAACGCAAAUGAGGAAGACGUCCUGAAGACGCCAAACGUGCAAUACGAUGUCGGAAACACGACACCUGGCAUUGACCUUCCUGAUUGGCGCGAACAACACGGACUUCUAAGGAAGAGCGAGAAUGU